rnacentral:rRNA from 1 species
UACGUAGGAUGCAAGCGUUGUCCGGAUUUACUGGGCGUAAAGCGCGCGCAGGCGGCAGUGUAAGUAAGGUGUGAAAUAUCCCGGCUCAACCGGGAGGGUGCACUUUAGACUACACAGCUUGAGGUCGGUAGAGGGGGGUAGAAUUGCUGGUGUAGCGGUGAAAUGCGUAGAGAUCAGCAGGAAUACCCGUGGCGAAGGCGGCCCCCUGGGCCGUACCUGACGCUGAGGCGCGAAGGCUAGGGGAGCGAACGGG